rnacentral:rRNA from 2 species
UACGUAGGGGGCAAGCGUUGUCCGGAAUUAUUGGGCGUAAAGAGCGUGUAGGCGGCCAGAUAAGUCCGCUGUGAAAUCUCGAGGCUCAACUUCGAGCUGUCGGUGGAAACUAUCUGGCUAGAGUCCGGAAGAGGAGAAUGGAAUUCCUGGUGUAGCGGUGAAAUGCGCAGAUAUCAGGAAGAACACCCGUGGCGAAGGCGGUUCUCUGGGACGGUACUGACGCUGAGACGCGAAAGCGUGGGGAGCGAACAGG